UGGCUCAGUUGGUAGAGCAUGGAACUUGCAAUGCCAGGAUUGUGGGUUCGAUUCCCAC
rnacentral:tRNA from 1 species